rnacentral:misc_RNA from 1 species
UCUCCGUAGGUGAACCUGCGGAGGGAUCAUUACAGAGUUCAUGCCCUACCGGGUAGAUCUCCCACCCUAUGUUAUUAUUACUUUGUUGCUGUGGCGGGCCGUUAGGCUCCGGCCCGACUACCGGCCCCGGCUGGUAAGCGCCCGCCAGAGGACCCAAAACCCUGAAUAUUAGUGUCGUCUGAGUACUAUAUAAUAGUUAAAACUUUCAACAACGGAUCUCUUGGUUCUG